AUUGAACGCUGGCGGCAGGCCUAACACAUGCAAGUCGAACGAGUGGCGGACGGGUGAGUAAUGUCUGGGAAACUGCCCGAUGGAGGGGGAUAACUACUGGAAACGGUAGCUAAUACCGCACACCCUCGGAUGUGUCCAGAUGGGAUUAGCUAGGAGGUGGGGUAACGGCUCACCUAGGCGACGAUCCCUAGCUGGUCUGAGAGGAUGACCAGCAAAACUGGAACUGAGACAAGGUCCAGAGUCCUACGGGAGGCAGCAGUGGGGAAUAUUGCACAAUGGGCGCAAGCCUGAUGCAGCCAUGCCGGGUGUAUGAAGAAGGCCUUCGGGUUGUAAAGUACUUUCAGCGGGGAGGCGUUACUCGCAGAAGAAGCACCGGCUAACUCCGUGCCAGCAGCCGCGGUAAUUC
rnacentral:rRNA from 1 species